GCUUUAUUUUUAUUAAGUAUUCUCUGGUUAUAGGGUUUUUAGGUUUUUCUUUGAAACUUUCUCUUAUUUAUGGAGCCCUAGGGCUAAUUAUUAGGGGUGCUGUGGGUUGUGAUAUACUGUUGAAUUUUGGUGUGGGUUUCGUGGGGUUAAUAGUCUUUUUGAUUUAUUUGGAGGGCAUGAUGAUUGUUUUUGGUUAUACUAUGGCUAUGGCUAUUGAGGAAUAUCCUGAAAUAUGAGGGUAAAGUAUUGACAUUUGAGGGGCUUUCUUAUUAGGAUUAUUAAUAGAGUUGAUGUUGGUUCGAUGAAUAGUUGAGUACGAUGUGGUAUUCACGAUUGAUUUUAAUAGCGUAGAGAGUUGGGUUAUUUUUUAGCAUGAGGGGGCAGGGUUAUUGCCUGAGGAUUCUGUAGGUGUCGCUGC
rnacentral:lncRNA from 1 species